UACGAAGGGGGCUAGCAUUGUUCGGAUUUACUGGGCGUAAAGCGCACGUAGGCGGACUAUUAAGUCAGGGGUGAAAUCCCGGGGCUCAACCCCGGAACUGCCUUUGAUACUGGUAGUCUUGAGUUCGAGAGAGGUGAGUGGAAUUCCGAGUGUAGAGGUGAAAUUCGUAGAUAUUCGGAGGAACACCAGUGGCGAAGGCGGCUCACUGGCUCGAUACUGACGCUGAGGUGCGAAAGCGUGGGGAGCAAACAGG
rnacentral:rRNA from 1 species